rnacentral:rRNA from 1 species
UACGAAGGGGGCUAGCGUUGCUCGGAAUGACUGGGCGUAAAGGGCGCGUAGGCGGAUGUCUUAGUCAGGCGUGAAAGUCCUGGGCUUAACCUUGAGAUUGCGCUUGAUACGGGGUGUCUAGAGUUGGGAUGAGGGUCGUGGAAUUCCCAGUGUAGAGGUGAAAUUCGUAGAUAUUGGGUAGAACACCGGUGGCGAAGGCGGCGACCUGGUUCUUGACUGACGCUGAGGCGCGAAAGCGUGGGGAGCAAACAGG